AACAGUGUUUUUCUUAUCAAGGAGAAA
rnacentral:piRNA from 1 species